CUUGGCUUCUGGGAGUGUUUGUGAAUGAAGGGGCUUCCUGUAUGCUUGUCCAAGCAGAACAGACACUCCCAAGCCUCAUGUGAGGUUUUUGUCUAGGAUGAAGAUUCAGGGACUGAAGUGGGAGAAGGCACAGAUGAAUGGGCCCAAUCCAAAGCCACAGUUAGACCCCCUGACCAGCUGGAGUUGACCGAUGCGGAGUUAAAGGAGGAGUUCACUCGGAUUUUGACAGCCAACAACCCACAUGCACCCCAGAACAUUGUCAGGUACAGCUUCAAAAAGCAAUGGAGUCUGGGUUUCAUUCCUAAACUGAAGAGGAAGAUCCCAGUCAACUACUGGGGACAAGAUGAAGUGAAAACUUCAGAUUAACUGAGGAGUUGGAAGGCACAUAUAAGCCUAUUGGCUUUGUGAACCAACUGGCAGUUCACUACACCCAGGUUGGGAACCUGAUCCCCAAAGACUCAGAUGAAGGACGGAGGCAGCAUUACCGCGAUGAAUUAGUGGCAGGUUCUCAGGAGUCUGUCAAGGUGAUUUCAGAAACAGGAGACCUCGAAGAAGACGAAGAGCCCAAGGAGUUAGAAACUGAGCCUGGGAGUCAAACAGAUGUGCCUGCAGCUGGGGCAGGUGAAAAAGUGACUGAAGAAGAAUUGAUGACUCCUAAGCAGCCCAAGGAGAGAAAGCUCACUAACCAGUUCAACUUCAGUGAGAGGGCCUCACAGACCUACAACAACCCUGUCCGGGAUCGAGAAUGCCAGACGGAGCCUCCUCCCAGGACAAACUUUUCAGCCACAGCCAAUCAGUGGGAGAUCUAUGAUGCCUAUGUAGAGGAACUUGAGAAGCAGGAAAAGACCAAAGAGAAGGAGAAGGCAAAGACCCCAGUGGCUAAAAAAUCAGGGAAGAUGGCCAUAAGGAAGCUGACAUCUAUGGAGUCUCAG
rnacentral:sRNA from 1 species